rnacentral:rRNA from 1 species
UAGGGAAUCUUCGGCAAUGGACGAAAGUCUGACCGAGCAACGCCGCGUGAGUGAAGAAGGUUUUCGGAUCGUAAAACUCUGUUGUUAGAGAAGAACAAGGACGUUAGUAACUGAACGUCCCCUGACGGUAUCUAACCAGAAAGCCACGGCUAACUACGUGCCAGCAGCCGCGGUAAUACGUAGGUGGCAAGCGUUGUCCGGAUUUAUUGGGCGUAAAGCGAGCGCAGGCGGUUUCUUAAGUCUGAUGUGAAAGCCCCCGGCUCAACCGGGGAGGGUAAUUGGAAACUGGGGGACAUGAGUGCAGAAGAGGAGAGUGGAAUUCCAUGUGUAGCGGUGGGAUGCGUAGAUAUAUGGAGGAACAACAGUGGCGAAGGCGGCCCCCUGGACGAAGACUGACGCUCAGGUGGGAAAGAGUGGGGAGCAAACAGG